rnacentral:rRNA from 1 species
UCCUACGGGAGGCAGCAGUAGGGAAUCUUCCGCAAUGGACGAAAGUCUGACGGAGCAACGCCGCGUGAGUGAUGAAGGUUUUCGGAUCGUAAAGCUCUGUUGUUAGGGAAGAACAAGUACCGUUCGAAUAGGGCGGUACCUUGACGGUACCUAACCAGAAAGCCACGGCUAACUACGUGCCAGCAGCCGCGGUAAU